AGACUGACCGGCGCGGAACCCCUGCGUUGGCAAAUUCCGUGCCGGCAGUAGGACGUGAGCCGUAACAACGAUACGGCAAAGUGACAAACGAACUGACUGACGGGGACUCACAAAACAGACACGUAAUAAAUAGGACAGUAGAGCAAGGGCGACGGGAGCGGAGAUGUGGGGCCGACAGGCCGGCGAGGAGCAUGCGAGUGCAAGCCCCGAGCCGACAGUAGGUCAAACCACGGGCCAGGCGAGGGAGGUUAUGACAACAAGCCGGCCACAGAGACGAGGUGAAGUAAUGCGAAAGCGGUUCCGCCUCGUCCUGGGUGAUGAGCGGCGGAGGGGUUUUAGCCGGUACAAAUCCGGCACUAUCCGAAGACACCAACUUGAACUUCCGGAUGUUUUUUUGAAGAUUUUCCAUUCGCCGCUACUAGAAAAAAAAAGGGGGAAAAAAAACCGGUAGGGUAGGGUAGGGUAGGGUGACAAAAAAGAGAAACCAAAUACAAAAUAGUAAUAGCCCUUUGCCGCAGCAUAGAACCAUACAAGAUUCCUAGUAUUUCACGACAGUGAUACCUUAUCACAUGGACAGUGGCCCACCUGAUAAUCAAGCUUUACAAGUCCUCAUUAAGAUAUUGAAGGCUAUUAAUGAGGAUAGUCCAACGGUGCCCACAUUAUUAACGGACUACAUAUUGAAAGUUCUGUGCCCCACCUAGGGAUCCACUAGUACAUAUCCUCCGACGUGACAUCGCUGUGCU
rnacentral:lncRNA from 1 species